GCGCUGGGGCUCAGCGGUAGAGCGCGCGUCUGGCAUGGGUGAGGCCCUGGGUUCGGUCCUCAGCACCACA
rnacentral:tRNA from 1 species